GAACGGAAACGUUCGAUAAUAUCAAAUACUUAUUAGUGUCGCAUGACUUURAUAUAAAAGGAGCGUUUGCUUCGCUAAGAGAUCGGGGUGCGCAACAUUAGCUAGUUGGUGAGGUAACGGCCCACCAAGGCGAUGAUGUUUAGCGGGGUUGAGAGACUGAACCGCCACACUGGGACUGAGAUACGGCCCAGACUCCUACGGGAGGCAGCAGUAGGGAAUAUUCCACAAUGAGCGAAAGCUUGAUGGAGCGACACAGCGUGCAGGAUGAAGGUCCUAUGGAUUGUAAACUGCUGUGGUAAGGGAAGAAAAAGUAGUGUAGGAAAUGACAUUACCUUGACGG
rnacentral:rRNA from 1 species